UGUCAGUUUACGUAUUGCACUUAUUGUAGACCGGUCGUAAGAGUCAAGGAAAUGCCAGCUCCUACAUCAUAUUUGUCCUCUAGUGAGGUGAAUUCACAGCCAAUCACAGGCAAGCGGAACGUAACGAGAGUAAUAUCUUAAUUAACUUGGAAGUUAGAGUCUGAAUAGUUUUCAUAACUUGGGGCCAAAAGGUAAUCAAACAGAAUAUUCACGUAAAAGUCAAUGAUAGUGAAGCGAUAGUGAAAUCACUUAAAUGGAUCAAUCGAAAUCAAUUAGGUCAAAGUGUGGAAUGGAAUCUUCAUCUCAAAGAUUAUUGGAAUCAAUUAAUAGAAAGUGAUGGGAGGAAUGAUUAUUCAAAGAUUUUACGAUCACUUCAUUGGAUCAAUAGCAGUCUAGAAAUGUGAGGAACGAUGGAUGACGUAACUUGCCCUUCCAUAAUGGGAAUCGCGUCCUCGUGAUCCUCAUUGAUAUCUACCAUGAUAUUUGCAUUGUUUAUCUUUGUUUUACAACAAAAGUAUAUUAUUGGCAAAAUAAUCAAUAUUGCGGUAAUGAUGGCAAUAUCUGUUAUAAUGCUUGUCCAGGUAAUUGUUUUGGAUUUAAAAUUUAUCUCUUCUAGGUUUUCCAAAUGUUUAUGAUGAACAUAUUACAAAGUCAAAUUACUAUAUUCCCCACAGCUUAUAUUCCUAAUUACAUUAGGUAGUAUGACGUUAUUUUCAAUGUAGUAUAUUUGGUUCUUAAACGUAAGGUUAUUUAUAUUUAUUUGAGAAUUUGUGUAGUUAAUCAAAUUAUGUCGUGGUAAUAUAAUAUUUUGGUCUUUAUCA